CCGCAAGGCAAGGGAAAUAAAGAAAGCCUUUUUGUUCUCGUCCGAGGGGGAGAGAAACUAGUAUUAGAGCCCAGUCAUCGCCAUUCGCUGAAAUUAGGGCGAAAACCAGGUCUCACUUCUUGCCUUUCUCUCGUCCAAUUUCCUUUCUUUUACUCGACUCUGUUCCAGUGUUCGAAUCACGGUGUUCUUCUGGAUCUUUAAUGCUAUUUUCUUAAUGAACAAUUCGAGAUACGGGUUGUAGUGAGGGUUUUUUUUUUUCUUUUCUCUCCCCCUUUUCCCUUGGCGCAAAGAUUUUUCUAAGCUCCAGAAUGAGUCUUGAAAGGUCUCUAUAUUUCUUUGUCUGAACUAAAAAGAUGUUGCUCGGAUUGAAAUAGCGAGAAAGACAUCAAAAGGUCUCAGGGAUAUUUGAUUGCAAACAAGGAAGCGUCAGGAUCCCUGAAAAAAGUGCUUUGCGCCUGCUUCUUCAUAUUUCUUGAAAGGUUCUUAAAUGCAAAGAGGCAGCAAAAAGUGAUGGAUUGUCUGCUGCUUGGUUCAACGGGGCCACCCAUCAAACAAGAAGCUGGUCUGCAUUGGAAGCAAGCAGGGUAGGGCUCUUACUGGGGCAGUUAGAUGCAGGAUAGCAGUCUACUGGCUUGGAAUCAUAAAUCUUGGAGCACUGUUUAGUUCUGGCUGUGAGAACUAAUACUUAAUUAGAACAGUUAUUAAGGAAUCUUUAUGACAACAUGCAGUGGAAAUAUGCAGUGCUCUGGAGGCUCAAGCCAAGAAAACAUAUGAUAUUGACAUGGGAUGACGGCUACUUUCACAACACAGAAGCAGAUGUUACUUUGGAAUCUGCUCCAUCUGAAUGAAUGCCUCUGUGUUAAACCUUGGACCAUUUCUUUCACUUACAAGAAUGCUCAAGGUGAAAAUAUUGCAAAGAAUCCUGUUGAUGUAGCAGCUGCAAACAUGCCAUUGUCAUCGAUAUAGACUUGGAGAAGGUCACGGGAAUUGCCUACUGUUAGGUCUCAUACUCCAACAUCGUUCAUGGUUCAAGAUGAUGUCCAACCCUCACCAGAUGUGAUGGCCCAAGUAUUUGAUGCAUAUAUAUGACCGCAUGCAGAUGAAAGUGUAGGGAAAGCGAGAUAUGAUAAUGUCGGGAUAGAUCCUACUGAAGAACCUAGUGUACUGAAUUAUUCCAACAAGAUCCUGCAUGUCAUAUGUCCAAUUUCAGCUUCCUUGAGGGUGAAAUAAAUGUAGUUUCACAACCGAAUGCUAUUGACCAUAUAUUAAUUUCUGCACAAUCUAUCAUGCCAAACUCUUAUUUGGAAGAUUCAGAAUAAGACGGUUCUUAUGAUCAUUGUACUAUCAAAGAUAUGACCCAGGGAUUUGGAAAGGGGCUUGCUAGCAAGGCUGCUUAUGUGAUAGAUGAGAGUUUGGAACUUGCCCAUUGACUCCGAGCUUGCACAAAGCACAUGGGAUGGGCUGUAUAUUGAACACUAGUCUAUCAAAAGCUGAUGAAUUUACCAUGUUCGUGGAGGAAACUGAUGCAUGGUUCAUGACAGAAAGUGGUGCAGAGCAUCUGUUGGAUGCAGCAGCCGGCAAUUUUCAUCGUGCUUCAAGUGUUGAUGCAUCUGAGGUAUCCAAAUAUAUAAGAUCGUGUGGCAACCCUGCAAAAAAAACCUAAGGAGUCUUAUCUAACAUGGAGAAGAAGUGGUCUCUUAGGCGCAAUAAGUUGUAAAAAGUCUGCAUCUGUCUCCAAAAGUGAAUGCUUCACAAGUCCUGCUUCUGUUUCUUCGUCCAAGAGCAUUUGUAGGUCGAUCAAUGACAAAAGGUGCAGCACCAUGUUUAUGGACACUGCAGCCAACAGUCAACUCCGAAUAAAAACAUAAGGGAUAAAAGUCACAAAACUCACAGACCAAGAACAAGGGACGGGGUUGAUACAAGAUCAGGUUAAGGAGUUGCGGGAGCUUAUUCUGAGCAGACCAGAGAAGGCUUUUGCACGUGUGCUUGUGAAAUCUUCUUCUCUCGUGCAGUGCAGCGUUGAUGCAUUGUUGGAUAGAGCUGUAAAGCACACGUUCCUUCUGUGAAGCAUUACCAGUCAAGCUGAAAAAUUGAGGCGAUAGGCAUAUCCAAAGGCUUCCAGGAGCUUCCACCGAAAGCAGAUUCUCUGCCCGUUAAUGCAGCAGCUGCAGCAAAAUUACACAUACACCCCAGGCAAGUAAUGAUGAUUUAUCUGGUGUUGUUUGAUUAUCGGUUGAUCUUUCGGAAUUUAUCUGUAUUUACUUUGAACAGAGGAUGCCAAGCUGUAUAAUUAGCUAUUAUACAGGAAUGACUGCUUCAUUGCAUAAAUGAUCAUAGAUGGGCUGAGUACACACUGCAGCAUGUCAAAGACAUUAAAAAAAAAA